GACGAACGCUGGCGGCGUGCUUAACACAUGCAAGUCGAACGGAAAGGCCCGGCUUUUGUGGGGUGCUCGAGUGGCGAACGGGUGAGUAACACGCGAGUAACCUGCACUAGACUUGGGGAAAACGUGAGGAAACUGGGGCUAAUACAGGAUAGGAGCUCCUGCUGCAUGGUGGGGGGGGGAAAGUUUGGGUGGUUGGGGAUGGACUCGCGGCUUAUCAGCUUGUUGGUGGGGUAGUGGCUUACCAAGGCUGUGAAGGGUAGCUGGCCUGAGAGGGUGACCGGCCCCAUUGGGCCUGAGCUACGGCCCAGCCUCCUACGGGAGGCAGCAGUGGGGAAUGUUACACAAUGGGCUGGAGCCUGAUGCAGCAACGCCGCGUGCGGUAUGUCAGCCUUCGGUUUGUGUUCCGCUUUCGCCUUUGACGAAGCGUUAGUGACGGUAAUGGGUGAAUAAGCACCGGCUAACUACGUG
rnacentral:rRNA from 1 species